rnacentral:rRNA from 1 species
GACGAACGCUGGCGGCGUGCUUAACACAUGCAAGUCGAACGGAAAGGCCCUGCUUUUGUUGGGUUCUCGAUUGGCGAACGGGGGAGUAACACGUGAGUAACCUGCCCUUGACUUUGGGAUAACUUCAGGAAACUGGGGCUAAUACCCGGUAGGAGCUUCUGCUGCGUGGGGGGGGUUGGAAAGGUUCGGCCGUUGGGGAUCGUCUCGCGGGGUAUCAGCUUGUUUGGGGGGUAGUGGCUGACCAAGGCUUUGACGGGUAGCCGGCCUGAGAGGGGGACCGGCCACCUUGGGACUGCGAUACGGCGCAGACUCCUACGGGCGGCAGCAGUGGGGAAUCUUGCACAAUGGGCGGACGUCUGAUGCAGCAACGCCGCGUGCGGGAUGCUGGCCUUCGGGUUGUAAACCGAUUUCGCCUGUGACGAAGCGUGCGUGACGGUACUGGGUAAAGAAGCCACGGCUAACUACGUG